rnacentral:rRNA from 1 species
UACGGAGGGGGCUAGCGUUGUUCGGAAUUACUGGGCGUAAAGCGCGCGUAGGCGGCGUUGCAAGUUGGAGGUGAAAUCCCGGAGCUUAACUUCGGAAUUGCCUUCAAAACUGCAACGCUUGAGUUCGGGAGAGGUGAGUGGAAUUCCCAGUGUAGAGGUGAAAUUCGUAGAGAUUGGGAAGAACACCAGUGGCGAAGGCGGCUCACUGGCCCGCAACUGACGCUGAGGCGCGAAAGCGUGGGGAGCAAACAGG